UACAGCUGUACCAUGCUGAGUAUAUCUGAUCUCCCAUGAUCUUGGAAGCUAAACAGGGUUGGACUUAGUUAGAACUCACAAAAUAAAGCUGGCCGUAU
rnacentral:rRNA from 1 species